CCUACGGGCGGCAGCAGUGAGGAAUAUUGGUCAAUGGACGAGAGUCUGAACCAGCCAAGUAGCGUGAAGGAUGACUGCCCUAUGGGUUGUAACCUUCUUUUAUAUGGGAAUAAAAUGUUUCACGUGUGGGAUUUUGUAUGUACCAUAUUAAUACGGAUCGGCUAACUCCGUGCCAGCAUCCGCGGUAAUACGGAGGAUCCGAGCGUUCUCCGGAUUUAUUGGGGUUAAAGGGAGCGUAGGUGGAUUGUUAAGUCAGUUGUGAAAGUUUGCGGCUCAACCGUAAAAUUGCAGUUGAUACUGGCAGUCGUGAGUACAGUAGAGGUGGGCGGAAUUCGUGGUGUAGCGGUGAAAUGCUUAGAUAUCACGAAGAACUCCGAGUGCGAAGGCAGCUCACUGGACUGCAACUGACACUGAGGCUCGAAAGUGUGGGUAUCAAACAGGAUUAGAUACCCCUGUAGUC
rnacentral:rRNA from 1 species